UACGGAGGAUGCGAGCGUUAUCCGGAUUUAUUGGGUUUAAAGGGUGCGUAGGCGGAGUGUCAAGUCAGCGGUAAAAUUUCGGGGCUCAACCCCGUCGUGCCGUUGAAACUGACACCCUUGAGUGAGUGAGAAGUACGCGGAAUGCGCGGUGUAGCGGUGAAAUGCAUAGAUAUCGCGCAGAACUCCGAUUGCGAAGGCAGCGUACCGGCGCCGGACUGACGCUGAGGCACGAAAGCGUGGGGAGCAAAUAGG
rnacentral:rRNA from 1 species